rnacentral:rRNA from 1 species
AUAUUGCACAAUGGGCGAAAGCCUGAUGCAGCAACGCCGCGUGAAGGAAGAAGGGUUUCGGCUCGUAAACUUCUAUCAACAGGGACGAAAGAAAUGACGGUACCUGAAUAAGAAGCCCCGGAUAACUACGUGCCAGCAGCCGCGGUAAUACGUGGGGGGCAAGCUUUAUCCGGAAUUACUGGGUGUAAAGGGUGGGUAGGCGGCAUGGGAAGCCAGAUGUGAAAGCCUUGGGCUUAACCCGAGGAUUGCAUUUGGAACUAUCAAGCUAGAGUACAGGAGAGGAAAGCGGAAUUCCUAGUGUAGCGGUGAAAUGCGUAGAUAUUAGGAAGAACACCAGUGGCGAAGGCGGCUUUCUGGACUGAAACUGACGCUGAGGCACGAAAGCGUGGGGAGCGAACAGG